GACGAACGCUGGCGGCGUGCUUAACACAUGCGAGUCGAACGGAAAGGCCCUGCUUUUGUGGGGUGCUCGAGUGGCGAACGGGUGAGUAACACGUGAGUAACCUGCCCUUGACUUUGGGAUAACUUCAGGAAACUGGGGCUAAUACCGGAUAGGAGCUCCCGCUGCAUGGUGGGGGUUGGAAAGUUUCGGCGGUUGGGGAUGGACUCGCGGCUUAUCAGCUUGUUGGUGGGGUAGUGGCUUACCAAGGCUUUGACGGGUAGCCGGCCUGAGAAGGUGACCGGCCACAUUGGGACUGAGAUACGGCCCAGACUCCUACGGGAGGCAGCAGUGGGGAAUAUUGCACAAUGGGCGGAAGCCUGAUGCAGCAACGCCGCGUGCGGGAUGACGGCCUUCGGGUUGUAAACCGCUUUCGCCUGUGACGAAGCGUGAGUGACGGUAAUGGGUAAAGAAGCACCGGCUAACUACGUG
rnacentral:rRNA from 1 species